UUUUGAGCAGAGAAAACACAACUAUCGAGAAUAUCACACCAUAGCAUUUGCAUCAAUUCGACGAAAGAAAAAAAAUCUUAUGGAUGAUAUUACAUUUUUCAAUCUAUCAAUGUAAACUACGACUAUUGGUAGCUAAAAUCUUCAAAAAAAAUUGCUUCUUGAUCCAAGAAUUCAGCUUCAACUCAAUUAUCCUUCUCUCGAAUCUGUAAAAGAAAAUUGCACCUUAGAUAUAUGUGAUUAAAUGUACACAAAUAUGAUUUCAAAAUGUGGAAGAGAAGAUUUUAACUUACAAAAGCUGAAGGCCAUGCAAUUAAGUAUCCUAAAGUGAAAGCCUCACCAAUUGUCUUGCAACCCAAUCCCUUACCAACUCCUCAUUAUCAAGAAUAGGUUGAUAUAUGCGCACAAUGGCAAAUUCAACACCUAAUUCAAUGCCACCAGCCUUAGUUCUUUGAUCAGUGCUCCGAAUAGUACCAUACACAACAUUUCGCUUGUUGGGAUAUGUUGAAGUCUUUAAAACUACUUUAGAAGCAGCCUAUAUUACAAUCAAUAUUAGCAUUCAACGACAAUGAUAAUAUAAUUUGUAAUUUGCAUGAACAAUAUGAGAUCUUUAGAAUAUCAGCCCAGUAAGGUGCCCCCGAAAAACUAAAUAAACUGGACCCGACAUCAAUGUCUAAUAAUACCCAAGAUCACCUUGCUUACUCAUGCUUGGCUAAAUAUAUCCUUUACUUGCAUACAACAGAUUGAGCAAAAUUUGUAACAAAAUCCAUUUUUCAAGCAGGCAUGAUAAUGUGGUCUGGGUUGGGAAUUUAGGUGCAGUAAGCCAUGCCCCUUCGUGAAUCUUUACCUUGAUGGAAGAAGUACACCUUCUUUUUGAGCUAGC
rnacentral:lncRNA from 1 species